CUCUCAUUUAUGCUCACACACACACACACACUCUCUCUUUCUCCCUCACACACACCCUCAUAACUAAUCUCAUAAUUACACCAUGAGCAAUCUGAGACCACUUACAAAACUCAAAAUUAUUCUCUUGUUUUCAGUGCAAAGAGAUGUGAGCUCUUCAAGGAAUUUGUAGAGUUCACAGACUCUGACAACCUGAAGCUGCUGAGGUACUGCAGUACCAGAUGGCUGAGUCUGCUUACAUGCAUACAAAGAGAACUGAGCCAGCGGGAUGCUCUACAGAUAGGACUGUAAUAGUAAACUCCACUUAGCACAUAUCGCCAUGUUUCCCUCGCAUUUUUUCACCAUAUAUUGCCCUUAAGCCUUUACUGAAUUUAAUGUUGCCUUUCAGGUGGGUGUCAUGACUUCUUGGGAUAACGUGAGGAUAAUAUAUUAAUAGUCACAUAUGAUAAUGUUUAUUAGUUCACUAUUAUUUUGUUAUGACUACCAGUGCUGUCUACAGUCAGGGGGAGUACAGAUUCACAGGCUUGAAGAGAUGUGCAGACUGAUCAGGUGAUUCUUGGGCUAGCUCAUACCAGCCAGGGCAAUCAUGGAUGUGCCUCUCAGGGAGGUGGACUAUGGAGAGGGACAUCAGUUGGCAGAUGAAGACCUCUUCAUUGGAACAGAAACAAAGAACUGUGAGAACCUUCUAUGAAGCAGUUCUGCGAAAGGUGUUCACCUCCUUUCCACUCCCAACCCCUGAAUUACCUGAAAGUGCUGGACCCUGCAUCUUGGCUUGGCAUCACUCCAGGGACAGUUGGAAAGCUAGGGGCCCUGUUUCCUCAGUUGAGCUUGAGUGAGGAACUCAUUGACUACCAGGUAACUGUUAGCAAGCAACUCUGCCAAGAAGACAGAAUUGGCAGAUUCUGGGGCCUUGUAGGUAAGGACCUAAGGUUCAGUGAGCUGAACAGAUGAAGCCUAUGAAGGCUUUAUUAUGCAUUCCACACAGCAAUGCCAGUUCUGAAAGGGUAUUUAGUAUAGUGCAAAAGAUUGUUACAGAAAACAGAAUGGCAUUGGACAACAGUAGUUUGUGCUUUACUGUCAUGUAAAAUCAACCACACUGGUCAAGCUCACAAAUACACACCUUCUCACAAGAUGUUGAAGAAUGCAAAGUCUUUGACCUAUGUGUAUAACAAGUCCCUUGCUGAUGCAAGAGACCCUCGCGAUGAAGAAAGCGGAAUCCCCAAUCCAUUCUCUCACUCACACUCUCCUACCCAUUCUCUCGCUCACCCUAUCUUUCCCAUCCAUUUUCGUAAUCACCUUCUCUUACCAACUGUCUCAUUUACCAGUAGCCACUCUCAAAAUCACCAUUGAAGCAUUAUGUAAGUGAUGUAUACAUAUCCUCAUUCAAGUAAUACAUUAAAAAAAACUUCUAAGUGCUGAAUUUAUAUGCAGUUUUGUGUUUUCAUUAUAUAACACAGGGAUGUUCACAAAUUUCACUUUCAACCAGGUAUCUGAUUCUGACCACCUUAUUGUAGUCACUUAGGCACUGAUAUUUUAAAGCAAGUAGUUACCUAGUGGCGAUUUUAGGAUUCACUGUAUGCACCCUUGUCUGAAUGAAUGGGUAUGUGGACAAUG